rnacentral:lncRNA from 1 species
AAUUAUAUUACUUUUGACUUGAGUAAUUAGUGACAUGCUGACAGAACAAAAUUUACCUGACAUAAUAAUUUUACAAUUUUCCUUUUAAUAAAAUCAAAAUAAAAUGUUUUCCAAAAAUGACAUAAAAAACUUUAAAUACAAAAACUACCCUAUAACAUAUUUCCCUCCGCUCAAAUAUGUUUGUCCUCAAACAUUAAAAAAACAAAAGAUUAUCACAAAGAAUGCAGUUGAUUUAAAAAGAAAAUACAAUAUAAAACCUGAAAAUUAACUAAGUUGAUAAUAAGUCAUUAUGAUUACAUAAAACAGAAUAACACAUAGAACAUUACAUAUUUAAAAAGAAGAUAAAACACAGACACUCAUCCUCCCACACAACAUACUGGGUGCAACUUGCACAAGAUGACCAAGUCUUAUACAAGUGCAUGGUGUAAAACUGAGUGGUCAAUCCAGCUAUACACCAUUUGAUUUACCAGUACAUUCACAAGCUAAAGAAUAACAGAAAAACAAAUCAUACAAACAUUGAAAAAAAACAUUGCUUAUAUUAAGCAUAUACAUUCAAGACAUUCACAAUAUUUACUAUAUUAAUUUGGGG